AUACGGAGGGGGCUAGCGUUGUUCGGAAUUACUGGGCGUAAAGCGCGCGUAGGCGGAUUGGUUAGUUGGGGGUGAAAUCCCAGGGCUCAACCCUGGAACUGCCCUCAAUACUGCCAGUCUAGAGAUCGAGAGAGGUGAGUGGAAUUCCUAGUGUAGAGGUGAAAUUCGUAGAUAUUAGGAAGAACACCAGUGGCGAAGGCGGCUCACUGGCUCGAUACUGACGCUGAGGUACGAAAGCGUGGGGAGCAAACAGGAUUAGAAACCCCAGUAGUCC
rnacentral:rRNA from 1 species